UGAGGAAUAUUGGUCAAUGGGCGAGAGCCUGAACCAGCCAAGUCGCGUGAGGGAAGACGGUCCUAUGGAUUGUAAACCUCUUUUGUCGGGGAGCAAAGCCACCCACGUGUGGGUGGAAGGAGAGUACCCGAAGAAAAAGCAUCGGCUAACUCCGUGCCAGCAGCCGCGGUAAUACGGAGGAUGCGAGCGUUAUCCGGAUUUAUUGGGUUUAAAGGGUGCGUAGGCGGAAGAUUAAGUCAGCGGUCAAAUGUCGGUGCUCAACGCCGGCCUGCCGUUGAAACUGGUUUUCUCGAGUGAGCGAGAAGUAUGCGGAAUGCGUGGUGUAGCGGUGAAAUGCAUAGAUAUCACGCAGAACUCCGAUUGCGAAGGCAGCAUACCGGCGCUCAACUGACGCUGAGGCACGAAAGCGUGGGGAUCGAACAGG
rnacentral:rRNA from 1 species